GGACAAGGGAUACAGUUUCUUUUCGAGAACUUCAUCUACGACUACGAAGAUUGUUUUCCAAGCUGAUGCAGCCGAACUUCAAGAAACCUCAUGCAGCUGUACAGCAGGCAAGGUUCUGUGCAACCAUCUAGUGGCCUUGUUGUUCCAGAGUGCCCAUUACAGCAUGUUGCAGGUGAGAGCUGUACCACCACCUGUGGCCUGCACAAGCUCUCUGCAAACAUGGCAUCGAACGGGAC